rnacentral:rRNA from 1 species
AUACGGAGGGAGCGAGCGUUAAUCGGAAUUACUGGGCGUAAAGCGCGCGUAGGCGGCUUUGUAAGUCGGAUGUGAAAGCCCUGGGCUCAACCUGGGAAUAGCAUUCGAUACUGCAGAGCUAGAGUAUGGUAGAGGGAAGUGGAAUUUCCGGUGUAGCGGUGAAAUGCGUAGAUAUCGGAAGGAACACCAGUGGCGAAGGCGACUUCCUGGGCCAAUACUGACGCUGAGGUGCGAAAGCGUGGGGAGCAAACAGGAUUAGAUACCCCGGUAGUCC